rnacentral:rRNA from 1 species
GGGUCCGGACACACUGAGGAUUGACAGAUAUACGUCGUGCGUUGAGCUCUCUCGGGGGCCGAGCGCAUGACUGAAAGAUGCUAGUUCUUUCAUGAUUAUGUGAUAGGUGGUGCAUGGCCGUUCUUAGUUCGUGGAGUGAUCUGUCUGCUUAAUUGCGUAUCAUAAAAAGAGACCUAGUAUACGCGUAAGAUAUCGUUUACGGUUCGUGACCCCCUUCGGGCGUGUGUCGCACGUACGUAUCAUACGCACUGGUCUCCGAUAGCAACGAACGUGACCGUACUCUAUUGUUGCAGCGAAUGUAUGCAUCUUCGGGUGUAUCUACCGCUGCUUAGUGCGUAUGCGUACUUCGGUGCGUGUCGUACAUUAAACUAUAGAGACCGCUGUAUUCUUUUUAAACCAGAGGAAGGAUACGGCAAUAACAGGUCUGUGAUGCCCUCAGAUGUUCCGGGCUGCACACGUGCUACAAUGAUCAUUGCACUGUGCAUCUAACCCAAUGUGCGUGGACGCCACGGUAUGUAUUUAUGCUUCGGCGUAGUAUAUAUCAGUUGGUCGGCCGCGCCGAACCUACUUCGAAAGUAAAAUUUCUCAGUGGGU